ACUCGGAGCCAGCACGAGGAGGAGAGGAAUAGGAGAGGGCGAGAUGUCAUGAAGCGCUGAGGGAGGAGCAGUGAGCCAGAACCCAGCGAGAGGUCAUCCACCCUUACAUAACUGGCCUGGAAACACACCUGGAGAGGAGGUUUCAUGAUCUGGACAUUCUUGGGGCCUUCAGUAUCUUGGGACCCGCACCGCAAUCAACCACUCUACAAGAUGAUACAAUCAACAUCUCUCAUCUGCGGACUCUUGCCAGGAAAUGUUGCCCUGAACAUGAGAAUGAGGUCCUGCAGGAGUGGUCCUCGUUCAAAAAUCAUGUCCUUCCUGGGGCAUUCACGAACAAUAACCAGGAGAUCAUGAGUCUGCUGGCAAGCGAGUUUGAUGAGUGGACCAACCUCUACCCCUGUCUGAGCCUCCUUGCAGGCAUUGCACUUGUUUUACCCGUUUCCUGUGUCAAUUACAACGUGAUUUCUCAACGGUGAACAGGGUAAGAGCAUGACCUUGAACAGGACAACAAAUAAUCAUGCAUUUUCUUCAUAUUAGUGCAGUUUGUGGUAUUUUCUUUGCUUUAUCCUCAGGUGAAAACAGACCUGAAACCAGCUUCAAGGUGAACACCUGGCUGCCUGCCUGAGGAUCUCCAUAAACGGACCCCAUCCUGAGGCCUUCUCAUGUAAUAGGGCAUUGGAAU